AUGUAUGGGCUGCCCACCAUACACGAGAUGCGUGAGGUGAGUUCACCAACAAAACAGAAGAAUGACAAGGGCCACCCACACUGCCUGAAGAAGCCUGAAGAGGUGCUGACAUGGAAUUCAAAAUUCAGACUUUUGACCAGGGCAGGACAUCUGCCUGAGGAACUUCUGGGAAGAGUGAUGCUUAGGAAACCAGUGAGAGCUUAAAUAAGUGGGAGAAAAUUAGAAAGCGGGGCAAAAAAGAUGAGAGGAGAUUUACAGCUUUCCUACAGACUGUGAGCUGAAGCCCAUGAAACUGGCCUCAUUACAGAUGGAAUCAUUUCUUUUGGGAAAGCUGCUUGGCCUUGUUGAGCUUGGCCUGGUUUUCUCCAGUAAGAUUUUUCUCUUUCUGAAAAAAAAAAAAGGCAAUACAGUAAAAAGAAGGAAACUAUAUAGUAAGAAUGCCAAAGAAUGUCUGAGUGUAUGAAUCAUGGGACAGAGAAUUCCUGAAUUUAUCUUUUCCCAACGUUAUUUUUAUCAAGAAGAAAGAGAUUCCUCUCUUAAGCGCCUAUAUCUACAAUUCCGUAAAUUACUUGCUGAAGAAGUUCUCGUAUGUGUUUCAUUUUCUAAUGUGGAGUCACUCUGAAUACCUGUUUCUGUCUCUGUCAGCUCUUUUCUCUCACACCCAUGCAGCCAUGGGAAGAAUUUCAACCGGCCCAGCAAAUACACCAGGAUAUUAUGCCCUAUGCACUUUUGAGGAAUGGAGAUUGUAAAUACAACGCAGAAAAUGGCUCGUGUUCUCCUGGAUGUUGCGGCCCAUGUGGUUGCAGUGGUGUACCUGAGUGGCCUGGUCUCCCGCCUUCCUGAAGUGGCCAAGCAGGAAAUGAGUAGAGGACAACUGUGACUCCAUACUCCUUAGAGGGUGCUGCCAUUCUCAAGCAGCCAUUAGCACCACCAGGAAACAGGACUAGGAGAUGGAGGUGGCUGCAAGGUUGCCAAGAAAGGGAAUCAUACACACAAGAUCAGGACUGCUUGAUCCAUGGAAUAAAAAAAUCGACUAAUAGCA
rnacentral:lncRNA from 1 species